UAGAAUUAAUUGUUAAAAUAGUUAUAUUACCAGUCUGUUAAGUAUUAUAUAAGAUUUAAGUCACUAUUGUAACUUGGUACCUACUAAAAUUUCAAACAAGACUUUGUUUCAUCAGGUACCUAAACAAUUUUCAAAGAUAAAUUUGUAUCAUUUUAAAUUCUUUGAAACAUACGUAAUUAGUUUAAAAAUCGAUUGAAUGUUUUUAAAUGUAAUAUGUAAGACUAAAAUUUGACCACAUUGCAUCGAACAAACUGCCUGUAAAUUAUCUAGUGUAAAAAUUAUUCAUAUUCGAGUGGUUGACACAUCAUUAAUGAAUGAAAAUGAGAAUAUAAUUUUGAUGUUUUUAAUUGAAAUUCGUUGAACAUUGUGAUUUGAGAACAUUAUUAUAACAAAAAAACCUAAACUGCUGAUUUGUGUAUUAUGAUUUAUGACUAUUACAAGAUCAGUCUUUGAUCAAUUUUCACAAUAUGUCAGUAUACUAUAAUGGGUCAAUUUAGAAUUAUUUUGUUUCAUCGAGAUACGUGACUUAUUUGAAUAAACAAACAAAGUUGGCGAUAAAAUUCACAGAUUCAAGGAACAAAACAUUCAAAGCUGAAUAACAAUUUCUUCAAAUCGAUAAAUUUCAUAGAAAAAUAAGGCAACCUAACGCACUGAAAAUUAUAAAAUAUUUUUUCAUGAUGAGAGUUUCAGCAGUAUAAUUUAUUACUAAUUAGACUAAAGUUCAAGAUUUCCAGGAGGAAGAUAUUCAAGGUAAAAUAAAUCUAUUCAACUGGAAGAAAUAUAAAUACUUUAUUAUGUUGAAAUUUCAAAACUUGAUUAUUAUUAUUAAAAAAUAAUAAUUAGUAAAAAUUGUCAACAAGAUUAAAAACGGUUGAAAUCAUGUUGUAUUGGAAAAUAAAUAUUGGAAAGAUUAUUACAUAAAGACUUACGCUGUUGCAACUUAGAAUUAUUUACAUAUUAUGAAGAAACCGCUUAUCAAGACUUAUCAAAAUCUCAACUAAACUCAGUUAUUGACUCUGUCAAACAACCAGAAGAAAAGGUGUCUAGGUUAUAAUUUUCUUACCUAACUAGAACACAUUAUGCUUAUAACAAUCAGUCGAUGAAACAUUUCAUUUGACCAUAACUGGGUCACAAAAAUUAUAUUUAAUGAUGCAAUCAUGUCAAACUCAUGGUCAAAUAAUCAAUUACUCGAAUAAUGUUUUAGAUUUAAUAAAUAAUAAAAAAAAAAAAAUUGUACUCAAUGGACCUAUA